ensembl:lncRNA
CACGGGUUGACCUGGAGGAAAGGUCAGGAGAGUGGGGAACACGCGGGAGGGGUGGUGAACGAGAGCUUCUCUGCUCUCAGGCCCGGCAGGGAUUUCAGCUGCAGGGGUUUGGCCGUGAGCCGGUUUGGGGAGAGCUGCUUCCCCCAGGGGAACUCCCUUGGCUCUGGAGGGAUACUGGAUACCUUGAGCCCCCGCUCUGGAAACAUGGAAAGGUCCCAAGGUCACGGCCCAGCUGUGCCUGCAGACAGCUGCCCUUGGCCUCGCCUCCAAGCCUUGGCCCCUUUUCCGUCCCACGCUGAGGUUGAGGCAACCCAACAGCUGAGUAGGAGGCGGCGGCAGCUUCCUGGCAGCUUACCCCACCGUCUACUGUCUCUUAGUUUCGAUCUCAGGGAAACGGGGACUUCACUCCUCUCAGAGUCUCGAAGACUUGAACGUGCAUUUUGCCCAGCGCUCUGGGAUGGGGCGUUGACUGUCCUUGGAUGGAGAGCUGUGGCCCGCAUCUCCCCACGCUCCGCACGGCUAACUCCUGACCUCGGCAGCCCGCUUCCGCUCUCCGGGCCUCCAAGAAAGGUGGUGACCAGAUCCAUUUCCUCCCUACCUCAUAGGAAGGCGUACAUUAUAUCAGAUGUGCCCAGCAGUGGCUUGAACUUUUGCAGACAGACACUUGGUUUAUAGCCAUGAAGAUGGGCUUUCACCAGAGAAGGAAAUCUCAGGCUGCUGGGUCUGGUGGACUCCUUGGCAUGCUGGUCCAGAAAGCGUGAUGUUCACUGUGAAGGUGGCCGCUGUAUCCAGCAGGUGAUGAAGCUGACACCACCACCAGAACCAAGAACCAGAAUCUGUUCCAAAGAGCAAACUCAACCCCUCAGACACAGAAGCAAGAGCAAGAGGGAGUGGUCCUGCCCUCACCCUGCUCCAGACACACAGUUCCCUAAGGCCAAGGCACUGAACGAAGAAACAGGGGCGUUAACCCUCUACCCCCUCAGUGCGCGCUGCGCUGGCUGCUGUGGCCAGUCCUGCCUGGGAUCAGAACCACAGACCGUGAAGACUUAAAAGUAACCUUGGCUGUUCACAGGGGAGCCCAGAAGGUCAGGACCGUCCACCAGGAGGGUGCAGUAUGGGGGCUACCCUGGACUUAUUAUACUGAGGAAGAAAUUUAAAAAUCCAAGAGCCCCCAAACUGGGCAGUCCAGGCUCUGGCGGAAACCUCAGGCUCUAGAGCUCAGGGGUUUCCUAGUGUGUGACUCUCCUGUCUCCCUCCCCUUGGGCAGCCUUCCCUUUUCCCUCUGCCCAUCCCUGAGUUCCACCCGAGAGGUGGGAGGCAGGCUGGAGGGGGAGAUGGCAGGACCCAGAGAUCCUCAGGACUCUCCCAGCCUUCGUUGCCAUGGCAACGCUGCUAUUUUUAUCCCAUUGUUCAUGCCGCUCAAAGCUCUGACUCUCUGUUCCAGAGAGAGGCCAGGCGGGCUUCUGCCCUCAUCCUUCACUGCAGCACCUUCUCCCAGGGGCCUGGCAGGGGAAAGCGGAAUGGCGGGAACAAAAGCCCGCUGGGCCACCCUCAGCCAGGGGGACUGCCUGACAGCAGUUUUCCUCUGCACCUGCGAGCCUUUGUUUUCUGGCUGGCUUACGCACUCAGUUUUAUGUUUUCAGUGAGAUCAAAACUCCCCAUGGUCUCCCUGAGAGGCUGCUCCAGAGAAAAAGGAAGAGCUGCUGCUUGCAAUGAGUUUUUCCCACACACUGGGGUUGCUGCCCUUCUUGGGAAAACCAGAGCUGGUUCUGAAGAAUGUCCUGUUGAUACAAGCCAACCCCUGGCCCCCUGAAAGGGGCUGGAGAGCUAAGUUUGGUUAGUUAGCAAUCAGAUGUACUGGACAUCACUAGGGAACCUAACGGUUCCUCCCUUUCCUCUGCCCCUCCACCAAAGAACUGGGCCAACUGGGCAUCAUACCUUUGUCCAGUCUUCAUGCCCAAAGCCUGUUAGCAUAUAUUCUCUAGUCUGGGUUUGUCGCCUUCCCUCCCUCUAACCCCUCAACAGCUGUCUCUCUCCAGAGGCUUGAAGUCUUAAACUUGUUGAUGAUGCUCUUGAAGGCUGGGUUUAAUGAAAAGCUUUUUUAGCCUCUCCUCCCUGGCCCAGCCUCUGAUCCUCUCCCUACGCCCCACCCACUCCCGUGGCAAGGUACCCCUGAGAGCCAAUGGUGCUAAGCUUCCCCACUGAUACGCUUUGAAGGCCAGUGAGAUUUGAGCCCUCCAGCUGGGGUAGUUGGGUUCAGAGUGAGCAUUUCUUGCAUGUCCUUAAGAUCAUGCUCCUGGAGACAAGUCCCAGGUCUUAACCCAGUAAAGUACAAUCGUAUUGUGUCAUACUCUCGCACUGAGGUGAACUGACUCCUGGAUGGCUAAUUUUUCUAGGGUGGCUGGGACCCAUUCACCUAGCCUCUAAUGGGUUUCAUUUUGGCUCAAGAUGCAUGGUUUCCACAAUCUAUGCACCUGGAGUAAGCACUUUCCUGGUUGCCUCGGAAAAGCAUGCCGGCAAAUGCUGCUCUGUUAAUUGCUGUAAUAAACAGACUUUUAUUAUAUCCCUUUGCAGUAAAUGAAUUAUGUUGUCAGGGUAGAUGGGGCAUCCGUGUUUAUUUCACAUUGUAAUACACUGCAGCAGUAAAAGCUAAGCAUUUAUUUCCACCAGCUCUGUUGGGGAGAAGGGAGACUGGGAAAAAGAGGAGUAUGAACAUGAAGUGAUGGGGUCCUGGAGGAGGUUUUGGGAGACACACAGAGCCCUGGGCCGUGAACCUCACUUGUGCUAUCUAGAAAUUGGAGGAAGGCAGCCCUUCUCCCUCCGAGCAUCUCAGAGAAACAGUG